rnacentral:rRNA from 1 species
UACGGAGGGUGCGAGCGUUGUCCGGAAUCAUUGGGCGUAAAGGGCGCGUAGGUGGCCCGGUCAGUUCGUGGUGAAAGCGCGGGGCUCAACCCUGCGUCGGCCAUGAAUACUGCCGCGGCUGGAGCACUGUAGAGGCAGGCGGAAUUCCUGGUGUAGCGGUGGAAUGCGCAGAUAUCAGGAGGAACACCCAUAGCGAAGGCAGCUUGCUGGGACGUUACUGACGCUAAGGCGCGAAAGCCAGGGGAGCAAACGGG